GCCCCCAUCGUCUAGAGGCCUAGGACACAGCCCCUUCAAGGCUAAAACUGGAGUUCGAAUCUCCAUGGGGGCACCA
rnacentral:tRNA from 1 species